CAGAGAAAGGGCUUAUACCCAGUCUCUGACCUUGAACUGCCUUCUCUGUCAGCAUUCCCGGAACUUACGGCUGGGUGGGUUUCUGGGAAAGGCACUACAAGUUGAAAUGAGGGGCUAAAGAAUGGAUUCCUCACUUUUCCCAGUGGAACUAUUGUACACACGAAAGCAGAUGCCAUUGCUGACCCGAGCCUGUUCUUCUAGAAAGAGUGAUGUCAUGGACCGUGUGACUGAUGGACUUGCCAGCGGGAGGCGUCGUGUUGCAGACGUGUCUGGGAGAACGGUGAAGAGCCUUCAGACGCCGACCUCCACCCUCGGCAUAGGUGUAGUGGAUUCUAAAAGGAAUAACAUUCAUGAAAGUGCAUCUUACACUACAUAAGUUCUCUCGAAAGUUCUGCACAUGUGCAGCCAUUAAGAUUUCAUGGAGAUGGUAAUAUAUAAACUAGAUGUUAAAGAAUAGACAGAAAGCCUGGACCAGCAUUGUGGUUGUCGCCUCUACAUCGGAGCCAGUGGCCAUCCGAGAACAGGGACACUUGGGUUGUGACCUCCGCCCUCUCCUCACCGAACAUGCUCUCUGUGCCUCCGUGGGGCCUUUGUGGCCAUCCAGUCAGCUAAUCUGGAGCCUGCAACUCUGGGCUGCCGAGGACAGAACAGAGCCCAAGACUGGACAAGCAGGGGCCCCAAGGCAGUGCGAGAAGCUGAGGGAAGGGCUUGGUAACAUCUAGGCAGGCAGCGGCUGUCUCCCCAGCCUUUGCAAGAUUGAUGCGAGCAGUGGGCAUGCCUGCCGCUCAGAAGGCUCUGCUAGGCACCAUCAAUCUUUACCUUCAUGAACAUUUGUGGAUGUAAUUUGCAAAUUAAAGAGUACUCAUAAUGAAGCAGUUAUCUUUCAUGGUCUAAACAACUGCCAUCCCAAGUUCCCACAGAAGAAGGGCCUCCCUCCAUUCACCAGAGAGUAUUUCAGUAGGGAGAGUGGGGAUCUGAUGAAGGUGAUUGCUAAGAAGAGCAGAAACAAACAACGGGACAAUGCUCUGAAGCCAGGGAAGCAGCGUGCCACCUCAAAG
rnacentral:lncRNA from 1 species